rnacentral:lncRNA from 1 species
GGUCUAAGUUCAUUUUUGGUGUUUUGGUCUUUUUUUCUAUUACUAUCUGCAAUAUGUCAACUUUAUUUGGUAUGUGGAAAUAUUUUAUAUUGUACAUGUCCGUCUCCUAAUUUUUAUUUGACCAUGACAUCAUUUUCACGGUUCAUUGCUCAGUUUCGUGCUUUGCUCUGUUUUUCUUAUAAGCAAUAGAUCAAUUAUAUUU